CCAAUUAAUGGUGAAACUUUAAAUGCUUGCAGUCACAAGUCCUAUUUUUCAAACUCUUGAGCCUAAAUACUGUAAACAUAGCAAAUUAUUUGGGGCCAUCAUAAGCUGCUAUCUAAUAUUUUGAUAUUUUUUUGAUACUUUGAUUGGCAAAAUGAAUAAGUCUCAUAUGAUGGCCAUGUUAAAGGAGGGAGGGAUGUAGCCAGGCAGAGACCCAGCAACUUGCAGGCCCAUAAGGAAGCUCUUGAGUACCUAGAGGAGGUACUGUCUUAUCUCCAGCCAUCAGGGUAGCUGUGACUCUUGCAACCUGGCAGUGGAGCAGCAGAUUUUGCAGAUCCAAUAGAAGAGAGAAAACUAGGAUAUCUAGCAUAAUUAAAUACAUCAACUUUUCUCUCAUGAAUAAACUUUUUUUUUGUUUCACUUUAUUUCUUCUAAGGAAAUGGAUGGUUUCUGGACAAAGUUGUAAUGAAGGAUCCUAUAGCAGAUUUGGAUUAUACUUUUCUUUGUCACAGGUGGCUGGACGAGGGACAGGGCAACGGGAAUAUCGCUAGAGAACUGCCUGUGACAGAUGCCAGCGCGUUUCCAGGAAAACUAGUGGGCUGCAGAAAAGUGGAAAUUUCAGAAAGGCAUGACACUUCAAUUUUACAACAGGCUUACCUGUGGCUUCAUUUGCCUUUACCCAGAUGGCAGAGUUGGUGUUCUUGGUGA
rnacentral:lncRNA from 13 species